rnacentral:lncRNA from 1 species
AUUUUCAGUUAGUUUUAUGGUACAUGUGCACAAGAUGAUGCUAUUGGCUUUUAGCGUAAUCAGAGAAAACAACAAUAGAAAGUUGCUGAUUGAUUUUGAAUCGUGUGAUGUUGUGAUUAGCACAGAAGCUUUGACUUGCUUAAAUGUAGACCACGUGGUGGAUAUGUUUUCAUAAAUUAAAUUGCAGUGAAAAGAUAAGUAUAUGUUUAGAUAAAUUUGGUUUUUAAAGCUACUUGCCCAUAGUUUAGGUGAAAAAAUUUCAAUGUUAAUUUCCGCCAUGUUUGGCAUAGAAUGUAUAUAUGACACUGAAAAAAUGAUGAAGUGGAUGAAAAUAAAGUUAGAUAUU